rnacentral:rRNA from 1 species
GACGAACGCUGGCGGCGUGCUUAACACAUGCAAGUCGAACGGACAGGCCCUGCUUUUGUGGGGUGCUCGAGUGGCGAACGGGUGAGUAACACGUGAGUAACCUGCCCUUGACUUUGGGAUAACUUCAGGAAACUGGGGCUCAUACCGCAUAGGAGCUCCUGCUGCAUGGUGUGGGUUGGAAAGUUUCGGCGGUUGGGGAUGGACUCGCGGCUUAUCAGCUUGUUGGUCGGGUAGUGGCUUACGAAGGCUGUGACGGGUAGCCGGCCUGAGAGGGUGACCGGCCACAUUGGGACUGAGAGACGGCGCAGACUCCUACGGGAGGCAGCAGUGGGGAAUAUUGCACAAUGGGCGGAAGCCUGAUGCAGCAACGCCGCGUGCGGGAUGACGGCCUUCGGGUUGUAAACCGCUUUCGCCUGUGACGAAGCGUGAGUGACGGUAAUGGGUAAAGAAGCACCGGCUAACUACGUG